rnacentral:rRNA from 1 species
AUACGUAGGGGGCGAGCGUUGUCCGGAAUUAUUGGGCGUAAAGGGUUCGCAGGCGGUCUGAUAAGUCAGAUGUGAAAGGCUAUGGCUUAACCAUAGUAAGCAUUUGAAACUGUCAGACUUGAGUUAAGGAGAGGAAAGUGGAAUUCCUAGUGUAGCGGUGAAAUGCGUAGAUAUUAGGAGGAAUACCAGUGGCGAAGGCGACUUUCUGGACUUAAACUGACGCUGAGGAACGAAAGCGUGGGGAGCAAACAGGAUUAGAUACCCUGGUAGUCCACGCCGUAAACGAUGAGUGCUAGGUGUUGGGGGUCAAACCUCGGUGCCGCAGCUAACGCAUUAAGCACUCCGCCUGGGGAGUACGUACGCAAGUAUGAAACUUAAAGGAAUUGACGGGG